ACUCGAAGGAUAAACUGUACCAUUGUGAAAUGUGUGAUAUGGACUUUAAGAAGAGAACCUUCUCACGUCACAAACUGUUAUACUAUGAUUUCGAAAACAAUGCUUGGAAGCAUCAUGAAGUGUCCCGUUUCAAUGCACGUGCUGGCUUCCUGCCCAAACUGACACGACAUAGAGCUGCUGGGUACAAUCCGUUUGAAGAUAUAAGCUCAUCCUCUGACUCUGACGACUCUGUACAUGUAUCUGUUGCGUCCCAAUUUGAAGAUAAUGCAUUGAAUGCAGUUGAAGGUGAUGGGCUAGAUGAUUUGAACAAUUAGCUGCAGCAGCAGUUCCAGCAGCUGACCAUAUUAUCGAUCAUGACGACUUUAUGGAAUUUGUCAGUGAUGAAGAUGUUGACGAGGUUUCAAGUACUGCUGGUGAAGACGACCGAUGCGAGCAGGACGAAGGUUUAUCCGAAUCGGAAGACGAGGAAGUCGUGGAGGAUUCAGAUGAGGAGCUUGAAGAUUUCCGAAUUCUACCUGCAAAUAACACUGGCACGAGAAAAUCAAAAUGUGAAUUUGUGAACACACUAUUAUUCUAUGUUGUAUACUUUAUUUUAUACUGGCAGGCAUCUGUAAAUGUAAGUGACAAUGCGGUUGAAUGGCUGUUGCAAUUCCACUUCCAGUUGUUCAGUUUCAUUGGCUGUAAUGUAGAUCACCGGUAUCUGUCAGAAUUCGCUGUUCUUUUCCCAACUAGCAUGUAUAUGUUGCGACAAUUAGCAGAGAUUGACAGGGAUGAUUUUACUCGGUAUGUUGUAUGUCCGAAAUGCACAAUGCUGUAUGCACCUGACAGGUGCACUGAAGUUGUCAGUGGUAUUGAAAAGGGGAAACUCUGCAACAACAAGGUAUUUGGUGGUAGGGGACAAGGUAAAAUUUGUAAUUCUCCUCUCGUUAAAAAAGUAUUAACAA